rnacentral:rRNA from 1 species
AUGGCUUCUUUCAACCCAAAAGACCCCUUUGCUGCUUUUAACUUGGACAACUUAGUGAAGCUAGCCGAGUUUUAUCCAGAUGACUUUGAUUCAAGAAAAUUGGAUGAUCUUGGUCGUGAACUUCGCACUUACAUUGACAAUGUGCGAGCAGAUGAAAGGUUCACCAAUUUGGAUGGAAUCACCGAUCUUGCUAAACUAAUGUGUUCCAGGAAGAUCUACAAAGUUAUCUGA